CCUGCAUCUACCAGGAGUUCCAGUGGUUUGGCAAGAAUAUUGCACACAUGGUCAGCUCCCUGAGGGGUCGUGUGAUCCCUGAGAUCCAUGAGAAGGAGGUAAAACAAGGAGAAAACGCCAGUUGAUUUCUAUUUUAAAGCAGAAAAAUCUCAAUGCCACCAGGACAAGAACAGAUUCACAGGCUGUUUCGAAAUAGGAGUACACAGCUGAGCACAAGGUAGGCGCUCUAAGACUAAUGAAAGAAUCAAAUCAGGUGUGUGAGUGA
rnacentral:lncRNA from 10 species